rnacentral:lncRNA from 1 species
UCCAGGGAUGAAUCAAAAAAGAAAUCUUUAUCGGCUCUACCUUCUAUUUUUUAUGAAGAAAAUGAAUCUUUUUAUCGAAUGAUUAGAAAAAAUAGGUUCGGAUCUCCUGCGAGAAUGAUUUGGAAGAUCCAAAACCAAAAAUAUGGAAUUUGCUAGCAACAACAUAAUGGAGGCAGUCAAUCAAGAUAGAUUGAUCCGAAAUCUAAUUCAAAUCCAAUAUAGCACCUAUGGGUACAUAAGAAAUGUAUUGAAUCGAUUCAUUAAAAAGAAUCGAUCCGAUCGCAACUUCGAAUAUGGAAUUCAAAGGGAUCAAAUAGGAAAUGAUACUCUGAAUCAUAGAACUAUAAUGAAAUACACGAUCAACCAACAUUUAUCGAAUUUGAAAAAGAGUCAAAAGAAAUGGUUCGAUCCUCUUAUUUUGAUUUCUUGGACCGAGAGAUCCAUGAAUCGGGAUCCUAAUGCAUAUAGAUACAAAUGGUCCAAUGGAGCAAGAAUUUCCAAGAGCAUUUGGAACAUUUUGUUUCUAAUGAGAAAAACCAUUUUCAAGUACUAUCCGAUCGAUUACGUAUUAAUCAAUAUUCGAUUGAUUGGUCUGAGGUUAUUGACAAAAAAGAUUUGUCUAAGUCACUUCGUUUCUUUUUGUCUAAGUUACUUCUCUUUUUGUCCAAGUUUCUUCUCUUUUUGUCUAACUCACUUUCUUUUUUCUUUGUGAGUUUCGAGACUAUCCCCAUUCGUAGGUCUGAGAUCCAUAUCUAUGAAUUGAAAGGUCCGAAUGAUCAACUUUGCAAUCAGUUGUUAGAAUCAAUAGGUCUUCAAAUCAUUCGUUUGAAAAAAUUGAAACCUUUCUUAUUGGAUGAUCAUAAUACUUCUUAAAAACUGAAAUUCUUGAUCAAUGGAGGAACAAUAUCACCAUUUUUGGUCAAUAAGAUACCAAAGUGGAUGAUUGACUCAUUCCAUACUAGAAAUAAUCGUCGGAAAUCUUUUGAUAACAUGGAUUCCUAUUUUUCAAUGAUAUCCCACGAUCAAGACAAUUGGCUGAAUCCCGAGAAACCAUUUCAUAGAAGUUCAUUGAUAUCUUCUUUUUAUAAAGCAAAUCGACUUCGAUUCUUGAAUAAUCCACAUCACUUCUGCUUCUAUUGUAACAAAAGAUUCCCUUUUUAUGUGGAAAAGGCCCGUAUCAAUAACUAUGAUUUUAUGAAUGGACAAUUCCUCAAUAUCUUGUUCAUUCGUAACAAAAUAUUUUCUUUGUGCGGUGGUAAAAAAACAUGCUUUUUUGGGGAGAGAUACUAUUUCACCUUCACCAAUCGAGUCGCAGGUAUCUAACAUAUUCAUAUCUAAUGAUUUUCCACGAAGUGGUGACAAAAGGUAUAACUUGUACAAAUAUUUCCAGUUUGUAAUUCGAUCUGAUCCAUUAGUUCGUAGAGCUAUUUACUCGAUUGCAGACAUUUCUGGAACACCUCUAACAGAGGGACAAAUAGUCAAUUUUGAAAGAACUUAUUGUCAACCUCUUCAAAUAUGAAUCCAUCUGAUUCAGAAGAGAAGAACUUGCAUCAAUAACUCAAUUUCAAUUCAAACAUGGGUUUGAUUCACACUCAUGUUUUGAAAAAUAUUUACCAUCCGAAAAGCGGAAAAAACGGAGUCUUUGUCUAAAGAAAUGCAUUGAGAAAUGGUGGAUGUAUAGAACCUUUCAACGAGAUAGUGCUUUUUCAACUCUCUCAAAACGGAAUCUAUUCCAAACAUAUAUGCCAUGGUUCCUUACUUCGACAGGGUACAAAUAUCUAAAUUUGAUAUUUUUAGAUACUUUUUUAGACCUAUUGCCGAUACUAAGUAGCAGUAAAAAAUUUGUAUCCAUUUUUCAUGAUAUUAUGCAUAGAUCAGAUAUAUCAUGGUGAAUUCUUCAGAAAAAAUUGUGUCUUCCAUAAUGGAAUCUGAUAAGUGAGAUUUCGAGUAAGUGCUUACAUAAUUUUCUUCUGUCCGAAGAAAUGAUUCAUCGAAAUAAUGAGUCACCAUUGAUAUCGACACAUCUGAGAUCACCAAAUGUUCAGGAGUUCCUCUAUUCAAUCCUUUUCCUUCUUCUUGUUGAUGGAUAUCUCGUUCGUACACAUAUUCUCUUUAUUUCCCAAGCCUAUAGUGAGUUACAGACAGACUUUGAAAAGGCCAAAUCUUUGAUGAUUCCAUCAUACAUAUUGAGUUGCGAAAACUUCUGGAUAGGUAUCCUACCUAUGAACUGAAUUCUUUCUGGUUAAAGAAUCUCUUUCUAGUUGCUCUGGAACAAUUAGGAGAUUCUCUAGAAGAAACAUGGCGUUCUGCUUUUGGCGGCAACAUGCUAUGGGGUGGUGGUCCCACUUAUGGGGUCAAAUCAAUACGUUCUAAGAAGAAAUAUUUGAAUAUCAAUCUCAUUGAUAUCAUCGAUCUCAUAAGUAUCAUACCAAAUCCCAUCAAUCGAAUCAUUUUUUCGAGAAAUACGAGACAUCUAAGUCAUAUAAGUAAAGAGAUCUAUUCAUUGAUAAGAAAAAGAAAAAAAUGUGAGCGGUGAUUGGAUUGAUGAGAAAAUAGAAUCUUGGGUCGCGAACAGUGAUUCGAUUAAUGAUGAAGAAAAAGAAUUCUUGGUUCAGUUCUCCACCUUAAUAACAUAAAAAAGGUUGAUCAAAUUCUGUUGAGUCUGACUCAUAGUGAUCAUUUAUCAAAAAAUGACUCAGGUUAUCAAAUGAUUGAACAACCGGACCAAUUUACUUACGAUACUUAGUUGACAUUCAUAAAAAGUAUCUAAUGAAUUAUGAGUUCAAUACAUCCUGUUUAGCAGAAAGGCGGAUAUUUCUUGCUCAUUAUUAGACAAUCACUUAUUCACAAACUUCAUGUGGGGCUAAUAGUUUUCAUUUCCCAUCUCGUGGAAAACCCUUUUCGCUCCACUUAGCCCUAUCUCCUUCUAGGGGUAUUUUAGUGAUAGGUUUUAUAGGAACCGGACGAUCCUAUUUGUUCAAAUACCUAGCGACAAACUCCUAUGUUCUUUUCAUUACAGCAUUUUUAAACAAGUUCCUGUAUAACAAGCUUAAAGGUUUUCUUAUUGAUGAUAUCGAUAUUGAUGAUAGUGACAAUAUUGAUGCUAGUGACGAUAUUGAUGCUAGUGACGCUAUUGAUGAUAGUGACGCUAUUGAUCGUGACCUUGAUAUGGAGCUGGAGCUUCUAACUAUGAUGAAUGCGUUAACUAUGGAUAUGAUGUCGGAAAUAGACCGAUUUUAUAUCACCCUUCAAUUCGAACUAGCAAAAGCAAUGUCUCCUUGCAUAAUAUGGAUUCCAAACAUUCAUGAUUUGGAUGUGAAUGAGGCGAAUUACUUAUCCCUCGGUCUAUUAGUGAACUAUCCCUCUAGGGAUUGUGAAAGAUGUUCCACUAGGAAUAUUCUUGUUAUUGCUUCGACUCAUAUUCCCCCAAAAGUGGAUCCCACUCUAAUAGCCCUGAAUAAAUUAAAUACAUGUAUUAAGAUACGAAGGCUUCUUAUUCCACAACAACGAAAGCACUUUUUCACUCUUUCAUAUACUAGGGGAUUUCACUUGGAAAAGAAAAUGUUCCAUACUAAUGGAUUCAGGUCCAUAACCGUGGGUUCCAAUGCACGAGAUCUUGUAGCACUUACCAAUGAGGCCCUAUCAAUUAGUAUUACACAGAAGAAAUCAAUUAUAGACACUAAUACAAUUAGAUCUGCUCUUCAUAGACAAACUUGGGAUUUGCGAUCCCAGGUAAGAUCGGUUCAGGAUCAUGGAAUCCUUUUUCUAUCAGAUAUGAAGGGCUGUUGUACAAAAUGUACUUCUAAGUAAUUGCCUCUUAGAUCUUAUAUCUAUCUAUAUGAAGAAGAAAUCAUGUAUUCUUAUUUGUACAAAUGGUACUUCGAGCUUGGAACGAGUAUGAAGAAAUUAACGAUACUCUUUAUCUUUUGAGUUGUUCUGCCGGAUCGAUCGCUCAAGACCUUUGGUCUCUACCCGGACUCGAUGAAAAAAAUGGGAUCACUUCUUAUGGGUUCGUUGAGAAUGAUUCUGAUCUAGUUCAUGGCCUAUUAGAAGUAGAAGGCGCUCUGGUGGGAUCCUCACGAACAGAAAAAGAUUGCGGUCAGUUUGAUAAUGAUCGAGUGACAUUGCUUCUUCAGUCCGAGCCGGGGAAUCCCUUAUAUAUGAUGCAAAAUGGAUCUUGUUCUAUCGUUGAUAAGAGAAAUCUCUAUGAAAAAUACGAAUCGAAGUUUGAGGAAGGGGAAGGAGAAGGAGUACUCGACCCGCAACAUAUAGAGGAGGAUUUAUUCAAUCACAUAGUUUGGGCUCCUAGGAUAUUAUGCCCUUAGGGCUUUCUAUUUGAUUGUAUCGAAAGGCCAAAUGAAUUGGGAUUUCCCUAUUGGGCCGAGUCAUUUCGGUGCAAGUGGAUCAUUCAUGAUGAAAAGGACGAGCUUCAAGAGAAUGAUUCGGCAUUCUUUCAGAGUGGAACCAUGCAGUACCAGGCACGAGAUAGGUCUUCCAAAGAACAAGGCUUUUUUUGAAUAAGCCAAUUCAUUUAGGAUCCUGCGGAUCCACUCUUUUUACUAUUUAAAGAUCAAUCCUUUGUCUCUGUGUUUUCACACCGAGAAUUCUUUGCAGAUGAAGUGAUGUCAAAGGGGCUUCUUACUUCCCAAACAGACCCUCUACAUCUAUAUAUAAACGAUGGUUUAUCAAGAAUACGCAAGAAAAGCACUUCAAAUUAUUGAUUCAUCGCCAAAGAUGGCUUAGAACCAAUAGUUCAUUAUCUAAUGGAUUUUUCCGUUCUAAUACUCCAUCUGAGAGUUAUCAGUAUUUAUCAAAUCUGUUCUUAUCUAACGAAAGACUAUUGGAUCAAAUGACAAAGACAUUGUUGAGAAAAAGAUGGAUUUUCCCGGAUGAAAUGAAAAUUGGAUUCAUGUAAGAGGAGAAAGGUUUCCCAUUACUUAGCCGGAAAGAUAUGUGGUCAUGAAAUAGGGAUUAAGUGGAACGGAAUUGACUGGGUGGUA